rnacentral:rRNA from 1 species
AUUGAACGCUGGCGGCAGGCCUAACACAUGCAAGUCGAACGAGUGGCGGACGGGUGAAUAGUGUCUGGGAAACUGCCCGAUGGAGGGGUAUGACUGCUGGAAACCGUAGCUAAUACCGCAUACCAUCGGAUGUGCCCAGAUGGGAUUAGCUAGUAGGUGGGGUAACGGCUCACCUAGGCGACGAUCCCUAGCUGGUCUGAGAGGAUGACCAGCCACACUGGAACUGAGACACGGCCCAGACUCCUACGGGAGGCAGCAGUGGGGAAUAUUGGACAAUGGGCGAAAGCCUGAUGGAGCCAUGCCGCGUGUAUGAAGAAGGUCUUCGGGUUGUAAAGCACUUUUAUCGGGGAGGCGUUACCCGCAGAAGAAGCAACGGCUAACUCCGUGCCAGCAGCCGCGGUAAUUC